rnacentral:rRNA from 1 species
AGAGUUUGGUCAUGGCUCAGGACGAACGCUGGCGGCGUGCCUAACACAUGCAAGUCGAACGGUAACAGCAGAGCUUGCUCUGGCUGACGAGUGGCGCACGGGUGAGUAACACGUGGGCAACCUGCCCCAGACUUCGGGAUAACUCCUCGAAAGAGGCGCUAAUACCGGAUACGAACUCUGCAGGCAUCUGCAGACACAUUAAAGGUUACGGUGUAAGAUGAGCAUGCGUCCUAUUAGUUUGUUGGUGAGGUAACGGCUCACCAAGGCGACGAUAGGUAGGGGCCCUGAGAGGGGGAUCCCCCACACUGGUUCUGAGACACGGACCAGACUCCUACGGGAGGCAGCAGUGAGGAAUAUUGUACAAUGGAGGCAACUCUGAUCCAGCCAUGCCGCGUGCAGGAAGACUACCCUAUGGGUUGUAAACUGCUUUUAUACGGGAAGAAACCCUCCCACGUGUGGGGGGCUGACGGUACCGUAAGAAUAAGCAUCGGCUAACUCCGUGCCAGCAGCCGCGGUAAUACGGAGGAUGCAAGCGUUAUCCGGAAUCAUUGGGUUUAAAGGGUCCGUAGGCGGACGAUUAAGUCAGGGGUGAAAGUUUGCAGCUCAACUGUAAAAUUGCCCUUGAUACUGGUUGUCUUGAAUUACUGUGAAGUGGUUAGAAUAUGUAGUGUAGCGGUAAAAUGCAUAGAUAUUACAUAGAAUACCAAUUGCGAAGGCAGAUCACUAACAGUAUAUUGACGCUGAGGGACGAAUCUGUGGGGAGCGAACAGGAUUAGAUACCCUGGUAGUCCACGCCGUAAACGAUGGACACUAGUUGUUGGAUUAUUUCAGUGACUAAGCGAAAGUGAUAAGUGUCCCACCUGGGGAGUACGAUCGCAAGAUUGAAACUCAAAGGAAUUGACGGGGGCCCGCACAAGCGGUGGAGCAUGUGGUUUAAUUCGAUGAUACGCGAGGAACCUUACCAGGGCUUAAAUGGGAGAUGACAGGAGCAGAGACGCUCUUUUCUUCGGACAUCUUUCAAGGUGCUGCAUGGUUGUCGUCAGCUCGUGCCGUGAGGUGUCAGGUUAAGUCCUAUAACGAGCGCAACCCCUACCGUUAGUUGCCAGCGAGUAAUGUCGGGGACUCUAACGGAACUGCCGGUGCAAACCGUGAGGAAGGUGGGGACGACGUCAAAUCAUCACGGCCCUUACGUCCUGGGCUACACACGUGCUACAAUGGUAGGUACAGAGGGAAGCCACCCCGCGAGGGGGAGCGGAUCUAUAAAACCUAUCUCAGUUCGGAUCGGAGUCUGCAACUCGACUCCGUGAAGCUGGAAUCGCUAGUAAUCGGAUAUCAGCCAUGAUCCGGUGAAUACGUUCCCGGGCCUUGUACACACCGCCCCU